UACGUAGGGCGCAAGCGUUUAUCCGGAAUUAUUGGGCGUAAAGAGCUCGUAGGCGGUUUGUCGCGUCUGCCGUGAAAGUCCGGGGCUCAACUCCGGAUCUGCGGUGGGUACGGGGCAGACUAGAGUGAUGUAAGGGAGACUGGAAUUCCUGGUGUAGCGGUGAAAUGCGCAGAUAUCAGGAGGAACACCGAUGGCGAAGGCAGGUCUCUGGGCAUUAACUGACGCUGAGGAGCGAAAGCAUGGGGAGCGAACAGG
rnacentral:rRNA from 1 species